CGGGGCGUAGCGCAGCCUGGUAGCGCACUUGCAUGGGGUGCAAGGGGUCGCGAGGUCGAAUCCCGCCGCCCCGACCA
rnacentral:tRNA from 1 species